UACGGAGGGUGCAAGCGUUAUCCGGAUUCACUGGGUUUAAAGGGUGCGUAGGUGGGCAGGUAAGUCAGUGGUGAAAUCCCCGAGCUUAACUUGGGAACUGCCGUUGAUACUAUCUGUCUUGAAUACCGUGGAGGUGAGCGGAAUAUGUCAUGUAGCGGUGAAAUGCUUAGAUAUGACAUAGAACACCAAUUGCGAAGGCAGCUCGCUACACGAAUAUUGACUCUGAGGCACGAAAGCGUGGGGAUCAAACAGG
rnacentral:rRNA from 1 species